rnacentral:rRNA from 1 species
GGUUAAGUGACUAAGCGUACACGGUGGAUGCCUUGGCAGUUGGAGGCGAUGAAGGACGUACUAACUUGCGAUAAGCCUAGUCAAGCCAGUAAGAGGCGCUUGAGACUAGGAUUUCCGAAUGGGGAAACCCACCUGCUUGCAGGUAUCGUUAAUUGAAUACAUAGGUUAACGAGGCGAACGCGGAGAACUGAAACAUCUAAGUACCCGUAGGAAAAGAAAUCAACCGAGAUUCCGAAAGUAGCGGCGAGCGAAAUCGGACCAGCCCUUAAGCUUUAGUGUAGUUAGUGGAACAUGCUGGAAAGCAUGACGAAACAGGGUGAUAGUCCCGUACACAAAAACUUAUCUAAAGUGAAAUCGAGUAGGUCGGAGCACGUGAAACUUUGACUGAAUAUGGGGGGACCAUCCUCCAAGGCUAAAUACUCCCAACUGACCGAUAGUGAACCAGUACCGUGAGGGAAAGGCGAAAAGAACCCCUGUGAGGGGAGUGAAAUAGAACCUGAAACCGUGUACGUACAAGCAGUAGGAGCCUACUUGUUGGGUGACUGCGUACCUUUUGUAUAAUGGGUCAGCGACUUAUAUUCUGUAGCGAGGUUAACCAUUUAGGGGAGCCGUAGCGAAAGCGAGUCUUAACUGGGCGCUUAAGUUGCAGGGUAUAGACCCGAAACCCGGUGAUCUAGCCAUGGGCAGGUUGAAGGUUGAGUAACAUCAACUGGAGGACCGAACCCACUAACGUUGAAAAGUUAGGGGAUGACCUGUGGCUAGGAGUGAAAGGCUAAUCAAACCGGGAGAUAGCUGGUUCUCCCCGAAAUCUAUUUAGGUAGAGCCUCGGACGAAUACUUACGGGGGUAGAGCACUGUUAAGGCUAGGGGGUCAUCCCGACUUACCAACCCUUUGCAAACUCCGAAUACCGUAAAGUAAUAUCCGGGAGACACACGGCGGGUGCUAACGUCCGUCGUGGAGAGGGAAACAACCCAGACCGUCAGCUAAGGUCCCAAAGUGUAUGUUAAGUGGGAAACGAUGUGGGAAGGCUAAAACAGCUAGGAGGUUGGCUUAGAAGCAGCCACCCUUUAAAGAAAGCGUAAUAGCUCACUAGUCGAGUCGGCCUGCGCGGAAGAUGUAACGGGGCUAAACAUACCACCGAAGCUACGGCUGCGUACGUAAGUAUGCGGGGUAGGGGAGCGUUCUGUAAGUGGCUGAAGGUGUGCCGGGAGGCAUGCUGGACAUAUCAGAAGUGCGAAUGCUGACAUGAGUAACGACAAGAGGAGUGAAAAACUCCUCCGCCGGAAGACCAAGGGUUCCUAUCCCAUGUUAAUCAGGGUAGGGUGAGUCGACCCCUAAGGCGAGGCUGAAGAGCGUAGUCGAUGGGAAACGGGUUAAUAUUCCCGUACUCGGUAUGAAUGCGAUGGGGGGACGGAGCAGGCUAGGCAAGCAUGGCGUUGGUUGUCCAUGUGAAAGGCUGUAGGCUGGUGACUUAGGAAAAUCCGGGUUGCUAAGGCUGAGAGUCGAGACGAGCCACUAAGGUGGUGAAGUUGUUGAUGCCCUACUUCCAGGAAAAGCCUCUAAGCUUCAGUUCAUACUGAAUCGUACCCUAAACCGACACAGGUGGUCAGGUAGAGAAUACUAAGGCGCUUGAGAGAACUCGGGUGAAGGAACUAGGCAAAAUUGUACCGUAACUUCGGGAGAAGGUACGCUCUUGUUUGUGAAGGACUUGCUCUGUAAGCAAACGAGAGCCGCAGUGACCAGGUGGCUGGGACUGUUUAUUAAAAACACAGCACUGUGCAAAAUCGUAAGAUGACGUAUACGGUGUGACACCUGCCCGGUGCCGGAAGGUUAAUUGAUGGGGUUAGCUUAGGCGAAGCUCUUGAUCGAAGCCCCGGUAAACGGCGGCCGUAACUAUAACGGUCCUAAGGUAGCGAAAUUCCUUGUCGGGUAAGUUCCGACCUGCACGAAUGGUGUAACCAUGGCCACGCUGUCUCCACCCGAGACUCAGUGAAAUUGAAAUCGCAGUGAAGAUGCUGUGUACCCGCGGCUAGACGGAAAGACCCCGUGAACCUUUACUACAGCUUGGCACUGAACAUUGACCCUACAUGUGUAGGAUAGGUGGGAGGCUUUGAAGCAGAGACGCUAGUUUCUGUGGAGCCGACCUUGAAAUACCACCCUUGUAGUGUUGAUGUUCUAACUUAGGCCCCUGAAUCGGGGUUGAGGACAGUGCCUGGUGGGUAGUUUGACUGGGGCGGUCUCCUCCCAAAGAGUAACGGAGGAGCACGAAGGUUUGC